AACUACCCCUCCCUGUUUACUUCUUUGUUCUACAAGCAUGUGCUGGGUAUGCGCCUGAGUCCUAGGCACUGAUGUCUCAGGCUGGGCACGCGGAGACGAAUCCAUAUGGCACCUGCUCUCAAGAAACUUCUGGAAGGGGGGAAACAGAUGAGACGGUGUCUUGCUAUGUUGCACAGGCUGGUCUCGAACUCCUGGUCUCCAACAAGUGGCCUCAGCUUUGCAAUGUGCUGCAGCAGCAUUUUAGCAGGAACAUGAUGGAAGCAGCUCCAAGGAGGGGCUGGAGCGGAGAGCCAUGCGCGGGGAGCCCUGCUGGGGGUCUGCAGCACAGCCUGGGCAGUGGGUAUAAAAAUGGGACUGCCCCAAGACAGGGGAGUCACUGGAAGAUGUGCGCCCCCAAAAUCAAGGAAGAAGACACGGAACCCACAGGACUGUGGGCCAAGUUGCUUUGGCACUAAGCAGAACAGAGGGGAAAGGAAGAAAGAGUGGAGCAAAGGAAGGGAGGGAGAGGGGACGACACUUUGAAUUGAGUGCAUGGAGAAAGCAGUUGGGAAACCAAGAGGCUCCUCCUGGCAUUUGAAUCCCUGGCCCCAACUCUUCCUGAGGCCCAGCUGCAAUCCUGUCCUUUGGCUUUGUGAGACACCAGAUACCCUUGUAAUAAAUUCUGCUUCUUGCUUAA